CUGCUCCCGUCUCCAGUCCCUUGCCAUUAGAGCACAGACGCCACUGCUCCCGCCUCCAGUCCUGACAGGUGACAACCGACGCCCUCAUCUCCUCCAGCACUGGUUGUCCCUGUUUCCAGUGCCGAUCCUGGCCUCGUGGUUUGCUUGGUGUGUGGACAGGGCCAAAGGACAAGAUGCUUCAAUCCGGCGAGGACAGAGCCAAAUGACCAAAGUUUGUUCAUCUGUUGCCAAGUUUGGUACCAUCCCGUGGGGAGGGCCAGGGACAAGCUGCUCCGAUCCGGCGAGGAUGCCGACCAUCUAUUGUUAAGGGCGUCCAUGGAAGGCCCAGUCCUGACUCUCCAGUGAGCCGGCAUUUGAUCGCUAUUGAAGGAGCUACAUGUAGAACAAGAAAAUACUUGUAGAGCUUGUAACUGAUUCCCAUAGUUGUAGAGCUUGUAUCAGCUAAGCUUGUAUUACGUGUAACUUGUAGAACUUGUAAAUGCUACAGCUUGUAGGACUUGUCAUUUGUAGAGCUUGUAAAUAAGCUUGUGUAUGCUACAGCUUGUAGGACGUGUCAUUUGUAGAGCUUGUA